UCUGAUCCCCACCCACCAGUCUGAGUCAAAGGAUGACUUCAGUCCCUUUCUUAACUAAUCCUGUCACUGUAAAAUCCUACACUCAUUCUUCCACGAACAGAGGGAAAAGGGACUCACUAGGAAGACCUAGUCUUUCAGUUUUAACUAUUAACCAAUAGUGGAAAAACAAGGAUGCCUAAGUUAUGCCUUCAGAGCCAAUAGGGUGGAUUUGUGUGUCCCACAUGACAGCAUUUCCCCUGUCUUUUACAUGGGCAGUAUUUAGUUCAAUUCAGAACUGCAGAUAGUACAGCUUGCACAGCAGCAAUGGGAUGUCUGAGCACAAGUGACUGACUUCCGAGUGACUUUAUGAAACACUUUUGUACUUUCCUUCUGCAUUAAAUUGGGAUCUGCAUCCUUGACAUUCACCCACUAUACACAUCUCUACUGAAGAAAACAGUGACUAGCACAGCUUAGCAGUAUGAAACUGUCCUAUGCUCAAAUACCACAAAGAAGGGUAUAAGAAGCAGCAUUGAACUGAAUAUGAAGGCAAAAUUCCCAUUGACUUCCAUGUUUAUCUGCACCAGAGGAAUUGGAGCAGAAUUGCAGAUCAACAAAUGAAGUGAGCUGAAGGCAAUUUGACCAAUGUCUUCUGUGUGAAUUCCACAGAGCCUGAUGAAGCAUGUUCUCAGGUCUCCAAGAACCCUUAAGAUUCCAGCGAGAGUCCAGAGACAAAAAGUAGACGCUAAGAACAGAUUCAUUUAUCACAUUUCACUUAAAACAAAGUCCAGUGUCAAUACAAUAUGAAGAUGUGGCAAUCGAGAGGGUUAUAUAUGUAUAUAUAUAUAUAUUUAAAAAAAAUGGAGAAACAACAUGAACAAUGGAACAGAAGAACAGGUAAACUGGUUUUAAAAAGGAAUAAAAAGGAGGCAAUAAUUAUGCCUCACUUUACUUGCAAAUCUUACUCAGGACCUCAUAUGGUGUGAACUGGCCUAGCUCUAUUGAUAUCAAUAGAGCUAUGCCAAUUUAUACUAGCUGAGGAUCUGUCUUAAUACCAUUUUUAGAUACUGCCACUGAAAUUCACACUGGUAUCAAAAUUGAAAAAAAGAGUUUGAAAAUGCACUACCUUUCUUCCCGUCUCCAAGUGUAUAACUGAAGGCUUGCUGACUGUGGGAGAUUAAUGAAAGUAGCCAAAAACUCUGCACAAGUGAUAGUUUGUGACACGUGCAGAAUAAUGUGUUUUGCCCCUUGCUUCUAGACAAAUGAAUAUUUAUAUGCAAGGCAUAAUUUUCCCUGUAAUAACAAUUUAACAACAUCAAGGAGAUGCUAUUAACUGUUAAACGUUGUCAGUGCAAGUUAAAGAUGCUGUAAGCCACUCAAAGCCUUUACCACUGAGCUACAUUAACAUAAUCUUUCAAUCAGUGCAGAAGCUGCAUAGAAUUUUUUUUUAAAAAUGUAUCCCUAAAGAGCAAUGCUAGGAGUGCAAUACUUAGAAACUGUAUGUACUUGCAAGAAAUCCCCAAUUCCAGACUAUUUGUAUAACCAGGUGUUUGUCUUAACAAUCUCACUGCAUGUAAGGGCAGCAAGAUAGAUUCAAAAGGAUGUUCAAUGCAAUCAGCAUGGAUCCAGAAUUAUUUGGCAUCUAUCAUGUAUUCCACAAUCAGUGGGUGGGUGUGUGGAGGAGGAAAAAGGAAGGUGAGGGACAAAGAAGAGGGCAGGGAAGAGUUUCAAAUUAAAGCUGCAGUCACUAUUUCCAAAUAGGGAAAGGAAGCCUAGCUAUCCCAUGUAGGGAAACUGAUAAACAUGGAGUGGUAGUGAACAGUGAAAUCUAGUUGCUGAUAUUAGCCAAUAUUAUACAGUUAAACAUUCUUCUUUGAUACCAGAUAAAAAAGUCAAGAUGUGGACUCCUGUUAAUUAGGAGUUGAGAUGCAGCUUCCCCAGCAGCAAUGUAAUAGUUUGUGCAACACAAGCCGCAUAUCUUCAAUUUAGGUCAGCCAUCAAGAAGAGGAAAAAAGGACUGGAGACUGAAGAUGAGAUGCUCUAUUUCACACAGUUGCCCGCUGGAAGGACUGGCAAAGGCAGUCACUUAAAUUAAGUGCAGGUCAUCAGACAAGAUAUAUAAUCUAUUCCUGAAACAGACAACUUCAACAGCCCAAAUCCCUAUGGCCUUUACAGCGACACAAUGAACUACUUCCUCAUGUACCUCUGUCAAUUCACGUUAGGUUCCUACUUUUUUAAAAGUGAUAUUUCAUGUACAUUAUGAUCCUAUUGCUCAUAGCAAGGAAAGUGCUUUGGUUUAUUUAUGACCUACUAACCUUAAAUUAAAAAAAGCAUACAAGUAAUCUGAAUGUUCUCAUAAGCCUGGAGAUUUGAAAUAAAACUUAAAAUAAAUCUGGCAUUUGUAGCACAGCCAGCUAAGCUAUAUUUGCCCAGUUGGGAAUUUUUUUUUUAAAUGAAAACCAGAUGACAAGAGGAAAGCAUUAUUACUCUACAUAAACUGCAGGUUUGGGGCAUCGGGACUGCAGUUCAUGAGUGCCUGAAUUUCUCAUGAGCUUCUGCUUCCAUCAGCAUAGAGUUAAAUAAAGCAACACUGUGGUUUUACAUCUAUCUCCAGUCUAGAAGACUAGAAUGAAAAGCCAGCUGUAGUUUUUGAGCUAGAAUGUAACCCAGCCACAGAACCUAACCUUGGAAAUAGAGAGGUUGGUUAUCAGUCAGGCAAGAUAAUGUGUGUUUGGGGGGGGGGGGGGGAGUGACAGAAAAGGAGCUGUAGUACUAAAAGAAAUGGAGAAUAAAAAGCAAACAUCCUCCCUCUUCUAUUUUAAAAUGUGAGUGACCCUAAACUACUCAUUUAGCUGGGACAACAUUGAACUCAUGCAGAUCGGAACAAAGGUCUGUCGAAUCCAAGAGCCUGAUUCUCCACUCACUCAUGAUGAUGUAAAUCAGGAGUAACUUCACUGAAGCCAAUGGAGUUGCACUGGAAUAAAACCAGUGAGAGUGAGCAGGUAAUCAAGCCACAAGACUGUGCUCUGCUAUAUGUGGAUACAUCACAAGUUCUUGGCUGUAUUGGCAAAACAAGUUCCCUUACAUUUACUUUGAAUUCUGAAGCUUACACAAUUGCAAGUGAUUCAUUUCCCAGCCCAAAAAAAAAAAAAAAAAAAAGAGGAGCUCCUGUCUACAAAACACACUGUAGCCCACAAAAGAAAGAGGACUCCAGUUUAUGCUACUACAAUCAUGUUGAUGUGCACCAGCAUGAUUUUCUAUUUGAUAAAGGAUAGCAAAUCAUUUAUCUUUGUUUACUAUUACAUGUUUAAAAAGUGGGGCAAUCAAUUACAGUAUAUGCAGGUGUCAUAAAGGGAAGGGGGUUAAGAAGCUCUGAUACAGUACUAUAAAAUCCUCUUACCUGUAAAGGGUUAAGAAGCUCAGGUAAACUGGCUGGCACCUGACCAAGAAAUGACCAAUGUGGGGACAACAUACUUUCAAAUCUGGAUGUGGGGGGAGAGGAGAGAGAAAGGCUUUGGCUGUCUGUGGGAUACCUUUGCCAGGAACAGAUCAAGGAUGCAAGCCCUCCAACUCCUGUAAAGUUAGUAAGUAAUCUAGCUAGAAAAUGCAUUAGAUUUUUCUUUUGUUUUUGGCUUGUGAAAUUCACUGUGCUGGAGCGAAUGUAGUUCUGUUUGUGUGUCUUUUUGUAAAUUAAGGUUUUGCUUAGAGGGAUUCUCUGUAUUUUGAAUUGGAUUACCCGGUAAAGUAUUUACCAUCCUGAUUUUACAGAGGUGAUUCUUUUACCUUUUCUUUAAAUAAAAUUCUUCUUUUAAGAAACUGGUUGAUUUUUCAUUGUUCUUAAGAUCCAAGGGUUUCGGUCUGUGUUCACCUGUACCAAUUGGUGAGGAUAUUAUCAAGCCUUCCUCAAGAAAGGGAACGUAGGGCUUGGGAGAAUAUUUUGGGGGAAUAGGACUCCAAGUGGUCCUUUCCCUGUUCUUGUCUAAAUCACUUGGUGGUGGCAGCAUACUGUUCAAGGACAAGGUGGAAUUUGUGCCUUGGGAAAAAGUUUUUAACCUAAGCUGGUAAAAAUAAACUUAGGGGGUAUAUCAUGCAGGUCCCCACAACUGUACCCUAGAGUUCAGAGUGGGGAGGGAACCUGACAUGGUGCUAGCAGUGGGAUCAUUUUUUGAACCAAAAGCACAGCAGGAUUUUUAAAAGGACAAUUUUUUCUCUCUGCUUGAAAAACAGGGAGGAUUUUUUAAAGCUGAUUAGAGCUGCAAGUUCUGUCCCUUUGCCUAGAGACAGAGCAGCCUCAUAACAAAGGUAUCAUACAGACAGACAAAGCCUUCCCCCGGCCCCCAGAUUUGAAAGUAUCUUGUCCCCCCCAUUGGUCUUUUCCUGGUCAGGUGCCAGCCAGGUUACCCAAGCUUCUUAACCCUUUACAGAUAAGAGGAUUUUAUAGUAUUGAAUCUGAGCUUAACCCCUUCCCUUUAUAUUUAUGGCAGCAGGACAAAUCAGUUAAAAGAAAUAGCUAUGACUUAAAGUCCUUGCCACGGAGCCUUAUUUACCAUACUAAAUGAAAUAGCACAGAGUCAUGGUAUGUGGUGUCUUUUAGCUUUGGGGUUCCAUUUAUGUGAAUAUUAGCAAGUUGAACAAGAGAUGCUUGAAGUGAAAAUAGGUUAUGCAUUGAUAUGCCAAAUAUACCACACCAACCCCACUUGGAAACAAGAUUUCAGAUGCAGCACUUAAUGAAAACCAACAAAUCAUCAGUUUCAUGAUAACUAGUUCUGCUGCACAGUAAGAUAAAAACUCUCUAGUUGAGCUUGAACCUUUCAAGCGAAUUCUCUUCUGCAGACCAAUUGUGCUUGCCAGUGCAGAUAGUAAGCAAGGUAGAUGAGUAUGAAUCAGAGGACAAAGUGAGACUUGUCUUUCCACUUCCCAACCCUUCCAAUUAAUGGCCAAAGAAGACAAAUCUUUGUUGCGUUACACAUGAAUUGCAAUACUACGUACACUUCCUUUUUUCUAAAAGCCAGUUUUGAUAGAAGAGAAAGUCUAAAUGAACUGGCAAGGUUUAGAAGAAAGGCAAACAACUUCCAUUAUUGCUGGAGCCUUAUCAGAAUGAGCACUUCACGAAGCGUGAUAAUCAAAUACUUGAUAUGGACAAGACACUUCAAACAAACAAAAACAAAAAAAAAACCUAUCACACACACAUCCCAUUGCACUCCAAGAAGGAAUCUCUAAGUUAGAAUGACACAGAUAAGUUCACCUCUUACUUUCAUAACAGGGGGAGCCAACUGAAAUUUACAUUUAAAGAAAGUCUAACACUGCAUCAGACUGCAAUCCGAUUACCUCUAAACUAGUAUAAUGGGAUUUCAGUUGACUUCUUAGGUUAGGCAGAUGUAUGUGGUGGAUAUGUAUGUAGAAGGGCUUUCUAAAUUAGACUAAUUGUAUGGGUUGUAUAGAAGCAUUUGAAGAAACGGAUGCUCCUUUUAGAACAGACAAUUAUUUAAUAUAGUGCUACUGGCAUAUAUGGUAAUUUACAAAGAGAAUGAAGUAGUUCUAUCUCCCAUCUUCCCCUAGAAGCUUAUUGAGAAACAAAAGCUGCAAUACAGUCAAUACCCAACAAAAACCGUCAAUACCCAACAACCUUAAACAGAUUCAGGUUUGAUUGAAUUCACCCAGCAGAAGAGAUUUUAUUGGGGACUGGGCAAUCUAUUAGUGACGUUGCUGGUUCAUUUUGCUUUUACCCAGUUGUGUAGAAGUAUGAGAUUGCACACUCUGAUUAACGUUUAGCUCCAUGGUUUGACUCACAACACUAGAUAUUUCGGUCUAGAUUUCCAAACUAGAUAAAUAAAGCUUUUAAAUAAAUGAAACAGACCUUUUUUUUUCAUAGGAUCAAAGCCUGGAGUGUUGCCAGUUUCUUGCUGUAGGAUUGUAAUAGAAUGGGCCAAGGAGGGUGGGUGGUGGUGCUAAGGGAACAAUGACAAACUGCAUAAUCUGUAUGAUUAAAACCAUUGUGUCAGUUAUGAUUUCCCCCUCCCCCCCUUUCAGAUUUUUAAGGAUGCUGUCAAGUCCGUGGAGUUCUGUUUUUAGUGGUUGCUUCAGUGAACAUUCAACGCUGUCGGUGAGUUUGGAAUUAAAGUGAAAACCAUCGACCGUUGAUUGUACCCUCCAGCUAACCAUCAUCCUCCUUGCUUCAUGCUUUCAGGCCUUUCACUGAAGACAGCUGCCAAACCAGCACACAAGGUAUAUCUUCUCCCCCGCUCCCCCAUCCUCUUUGCAGAGCUUUACUAAAAAGGUCACAAUCAACAUUCAUUGCUGUCGGUGGGUUUAACUAUGUGGACAAGCUCACUGAACAAUGAAUGCAACUGUGGCCCCACUUUUUGCAAUCACAGUCAAGAGGAAUAUCAGCUCUGAAAGCAUCACUGAAAGUCUUUCAUAUAUGAAACUUUCCUGAUCAAAAGACGAAUAUCUUCAGGAUUUUUUGUUUUAAGUUGAUUUGACUCAGAUGGUUGAGACAACAAUCACUCCUCCCUGGAAUUGACUACAACAUAAAGGGAGAUCAUUCUGCCAUUAAUAUCUCUUACUUACUACAGAUAUGAACAAAAACUCUGGUAUACAAAAAGCCUCCCUGUAUGCACACCUGAGGAUUCUGAGCACAGGAAAGAUGGUUGAAAACACUUCUAAAAUAAUAAAUAAUCAAUCAUCAUCAUCAUCAUCAUCAUCAAAUUUAUGCACUGCAACAUUGCACAUGCAAAGAGAUGACAGCUAUGUGUGUCCUUGGCUAAACAAGACAAACCCACCCCAAAAUUUCUUGCAAAUGGGAGCCUUAGUUAAAGAAUGGCGAUAAUAUUCCUUAUUCUGGUGUAAUACAAUUCAUUGUUAAGUGAAGUUUAUUUAAACACCUAAUAAACAUGAAAAUACAAAGCUUA